UGGAGGACACUCCAUCUAUCCUGGGCAAAUUUCUUGAGCCUUGCAGACUGGCUUACAAUGUGUCACAGGCUUCUGUUGUCUUGCUGCCUACCUGUAAGUAGUAAAAAGUCUCUUCAUGCAGCUUGUUGUAUGCACAGGUGUUUUCUCUCACUGGACUCAAGACAAGUUGGUGACCAGGGCACAGUGAACCUGCUUCACAACAAGAGGAGAAGGAAUUCCAGUCAGGGUUUUGCUCUGUCGCCCAGGCUGGAGUGCAGUGGCACAAACAGAGUACAUUGCUGUCUAUCUUCUGGACUCAAAUGAUCUUCCCUCCUCAGCCUUCUGAGUAGCUGGGACUACAGAUGCAGAUAGAAAUAUUAGUUGUAUGAGACAUUAUUUCUUAAAGGAUGAAACAUUACACAAAAUAUA